AUUGAACGCUGGCGGCAGGCCUAACACAUGCAAGUCGAGCGGUAGCACAGAGAGCUUGCUCUCGGGUGACGAGCGGCGGACGGGUGAGUAAUGUCUGGGAAACUGCCUGAUGGAGGGGGAUAACUACUGGAAACGGUAGCUAAUACCGCAUAACGUCGCAAGACCAAAGUGGGGGACCUUCGGGCCUCAUGCCAUCAGAUGUGCCCAGAUGGGAUUAGCUAGUAGGUGGGGUAACGGCUCACCUAGGCGACGAUCCCUAGCUGGUCUGAGAGGAUGACCAGCCACACUGGAACUGAGACACGGUCCAGACUCCUACGGGAGGCAGCAGUGGGGAAUAUUGCACAAUGGGCGCAAGCCUGAUGCAGCCAUGCCGCGUGUGUGAAGAAGGCCUUCGGGUUGUAAAGCACUUUCAGCGGGGAGGAAGGCGGUGAGGUUAAUAACCUCACCGAUUGACGUUACCCGCAGAAGAAGCACCGGCUAACUCCGUGCCAGCCGCCGCGGUAACAC
rnacentral:rRNA from 1 species